rnacentral:misc_RNA from 1 species
AGCACCACAACUAGGACUUGCAGGUGUAUCGCAACCUGCCUCCUCAAAAAUCUGGGAACAUGUUUUGCCACCUGAUCCUGGAACUGGGAGGCUAUAUACAUCCAUCCAUACCUUUUGGGUAGCAGGAACAAGGAAAGUGGGAACCUUUACCUUCUUUCCGGAAGCUAGAAAAACUUUUGCAGCAGCCAUGAAGUCCUCUGUCUUUCCACCAGUACAAGAUCCAAUAUAUACUCUAUCGAUUUUGACAUCUUUGCAUUCUCUU